rnacentral:rRNA from 1 species
AUGAACGCUGGCGGCGUGUCUAAGGCAUGCAAGUCGAGCGGUUUGAUAUUUCUCGCAAGAGAGGUGUCAGAUAGCGGCAAACGGGUGCGUAACACAUUGGUAAUCUACCUUCCAGUCGGGCAUAACCCCGCGAAAGCGGGGCUAAUUCCACGAUGGUGAUGAGGGGACGCAAGUCGUCUCAUCUAAAGCGCAAAACGCGCUGGGAGAGGAACCUAUGGCCUAUCAGCUUGUUGGUGAGGUAACGGCUCACCAAGGCUAUGACGGGUAGGGGAUGUGAGAGCAUGAUCCCCCUCACUGGAACUGAGACACUGUCCAGACACCUACGGGUGGCUGCAGUUAAGAAUAUUCCCCAAUGGGCGAAAGCCUGAGGGAGCGACGCCGCGUGCAGGAUGAAGGGCUUCGGCUCGUAAACUGCUUUUUUCAGGGAAGAAAUUUGACGGUACCUGAAGAAUAAGAGGUUGCUAACUCUGU